GUAUCAUUAGUAGAUAGUCUAUUGUGUGAAUGAGUAGGCGUAGGCCAAUGGUAUCUAGGCAUGCGCACUAACGGCGUGUCUAUUGGUCAGGAGGUCAUAACACUGGGGGGUAGGUGUGUCGGGUAUUCUGUGGAUCACCUAUAGGGGAUAUAUAUCGAACCAGUGCAGAAUGAAGAUAACCCUGAUCCUCCAAACACCCUGAUCCUCCAAACACCCUGAUCCUCCAAACGUCUGAGCGCUAGGCUAAGCUAGUAGACUCGUCAUAGCGGCUGCAGAAGAAAGGAGAAGAAAGAAAAACAGCUACUACAACCUGCACAACUAUGCCUACUGACUGUAAGUAUUCAUAUGAGUGUAAUAUGUUAUUAUUAUUAUUAUUAUAUCAUGACUAUGACCAUGUGUAUACGCGGCCCAUAUCUGAUUGAUACAUAGUUUUUCCGUAGUGAUUUCUGACGUCGGCUAUGAGAGCGUGAAAAGGCAUCAGGUUCCACGCGCACCAGGUGCUGAUAUUCGGUUGAAUAAUCAAAGAUCGAUGCUCGGUGAUCGGACCAAUGUGGGGGCCAGCAGUAGUUAUGUACCUAUCGUGGAUGGUGUGAAACAGUGGACCCCUGGAUCAAACCGUCUAACCAAGAAAAAUAACAAAAGACCCAAUCUAGGACCGGCUCUACCUCUACCCAGCUCUCCGCUAGCAGUGGUGCAACAGCAGAUCCCGUAUAAAAAGGGACGCAAGGACACCGCACAUAGUGUUUUAACUCCAGAGAAUUUUAACUUGGUUCUCCAUGCUGUCAUAAACCCUGAAAUCGCCCACCACGGGGGUGGAUGGUCUGAGUCCAAACAGCCGUUGAUUGAGACAUCGGUUGUACCUGUGUCUGAGCCGGCUGCAGAGACCGUUACUGUACAGCCGGAUGGAGGCAUUCAGCAUGUCCUUGGAGACCCUCAGGAUGCACCACUACCAGAACUGACCGAUGAGGAUCUCGAGGGUCUUACCGACGUUCCGUUGUGGCCCUCAGCGCUGUUGGAACAGCUCGACUUCACUCCCGCUCAUUGGAUAGACCCUCCAGCUACUUCCGUAGUGGGUACCACCAGGGCAGAGCCUGUAAACCAUCAGCCUGCAGCCCCCGCCUCUGGAUCACGACCCAUCCUCAUCCAGGCCUCUAUCCACAAUCCACCAGGCACUGUGAGUCGUCCCACCGCCAUCGGAGCAGUGGCUACGCUGCUACCCGACGGCUCAGCGGCUGCUGCUGAAUACAUUGCGGGUGGUCCAUGUACCAACUGUUGUAAGGAUUGUGUUGGUAAAUUAACCUUGGUAACUACAGCAGUUGAUGUAAACUCCUUAACCAUUGGUCGUCAGUGUAAACUGGGUGCAUUGUCUGUGAAACGUAUUGACAGCAGAUUUCAGACUAUCGAAGAGCAAACGGAGCAGUCACUCGAGACCAUCGGGGAAAUCAAGGACGAGCUAGUGCGUUACGGUCUGGCUAUAGAAUCAAUACAGCAGCAGAUUUUGGUUGUCGAGGCAGCAGUGCGUGUUAACACUCUGGCUUUGGAUAGGGGGCUUCUGAUAUCUAAUAUGGCGCGGAAAAUUUGGCUAAUUGAAACUACGGCGCAGGAUAACAUCAGGGCCUACAAGGCCAUGUCUGCCCGGAUGACUAUCAUGAAUGAUGCUCUGGAUAUGCUUACGAUGAAUCGUUAGUAUUUGAUUUGUGGUUUUGGGGUGUUCUUUUUAUUUUUUUUUGUUUGUUAUCUUUUUCGUUUAUUCAGUGGAGAGGGUUUUUUUGUUUUAAACUGAACGUAAUAAAACUUUUUUCUUUUAAUAUCUGACUAAUUAACUUUUUUUUUUUUUAUCUAUUGGCAUAAAAACUAUAGCUGAACACAAUGCAUAAAGCUAUUAGCCCCAGAAAAAGGAAAUUCAAAUCUGUAGACGGUAAUCCCAAGAGACGGCGUAGAUCUGAUAGCGGGGGUAGCAUUAUGGAUGUAGAUCUUGAAGAGAUGGCUAUGAGGUAUGAUACAACCGGCGAUACGUCUGUAGGCCGUGUGGGGGGUGGGGGCAUGUGUGCUGAAGGUGGUUUAGACAUGCGGGAAAUACGUGCUGACAUAGCUAGAACUAGACGUGUGUUAAUUGAUGCUAAUGUAGGGGGUAAUAGAAUGACGGCUGCACUAGACAGGGCUGCUAUGAUAAAUGUUUCGAACGAUCCGUGUGCAGAUGGAGGGGAGGUGUGUGUGGGGUUAGAUGUCCCCGGGGAUUUAGACACACGGGAUGUGUUGUAUGCGGCGGCGUACACCAGAGAUGUACUUAACACUGUCGAUGGGUGGCUGGCUAGUGUACAAGAGAGGCUCGACAUAGCCGAGCAGAUAGACAUAACAUCACCGAUAGAUGUAUUGCAUGUGUCGCAACGUGACGAAGGGGAUGGUGAGGGUUUUCAGGAACCCCUGGCGGCUGCAGGGGGUAGGACUGGUGACUCUAUAGAGCCGAAUAUACAGGA
ensembl:lncRNA